AGUGUUGCAAUUCACAAUUGCUAAAUAAAAGGUUGACUGCAUACAACAAGGGUGGGGAGCCUUUUGGGAUAUCACAUCAUUUGCAGCCAAAUAAAAAUUUCAACUCAACUUAAAAAUUAGCCUGCUAUAUUUGAUCAAACAUUUAAUUAACUCACCCCUAAUGUGAUGGCUGUAACUGCGCCUUAAUUCCCUUGAACUCACAGUUAACCAAUAUAAAUGGCAUUAGGGCUAUUACACACACACACACUAUUAAUAAAUAUAUAUUCUCUCUCAGCAAAUGGUAUAUAUAUAAAAAAGUCAAGGGUUAAAAAAAAAAAAAAAAAAAAAUUAGCUUUGGUGCUCAAAAAUAGAAUAGAUAAUUGAGAAAAAUAGAGCGUUAUCAAAAGUAAAGUUCAGUUUUGAAAAGCAGUACAAACAUUUAAAAAGUCCACAAUGAAAUGUGCCUUCUGGUUCCACAGGUUUGCAUGGUGAUUGCCAAACUUAUUUUGAUAACACUGAUAAAUUCCCCAUAUUCUGCUGAUCCAUGACCACAUCUGGGAUGAGAAUAAACUACUUUUCAAAGAACCUAACCAUUAUCUCCCACCCUAAAAGCAUUAGAAGACUAAUAUUUACACAUAAGUAAUGAUGCAUUGGUAAUUGAAG